rnacentral:lncRNA from 1 species
UUUUUUUCUUUUGUUUGUUUGUUUGUCUUCGUAGAGAGGGAACGAUUCUUGGUGUGAUCUCUUGCGUACGUACUUAUAACACCAUGCUAUAAUUUUUUAAAAAUAUGAUUACAUUGAUGGUGAUGGUGAUUCGAUGGCUGGUAAAGUGUAUUCAAAGUUUAAUCUUUUGCCGGGUAGGAUUGCCAAGAUGAUCUGUCCAAAUUUGAUUAUCUCCUCACUUCAAGUUUUUUCUUUUCCUCCAACGUAAGUUAGAAAUAAUAGUAAAUUGUGAUGUUAUGGUUUUAUGAAGUACGGUCGAAAAUUUAAAUAACAUAUAGAAUGUCGAUCAAAAUUUUUAUUGAUAUUAUGCCUACAUAUGUGUUCACAAUUUCAUGUCAAGUUGUAUGAACCAAAUUAAGAGGGGUUUUGAUUACAAAUCCAACAUGCAAUGAUUCUGUGGUAAAUCUUGCGAGCACUAAAGAUAUUUUUUUGCGGGCACUAAAGAUAUUGUUUGCGGGCUCUAUAGAUAUUUUUUUACCCACAAAUAGAUGUAAUUGUGUUCGUUGGUUGAAUAUUAAAAUUUUAUUUUGAGAUUUGUUUUAAUACAAGGAUAAAGAUUAUAUGAUUUGGAUGAUUUUAAAUUUUAAUGUAUUUUUGUUAUGUUUUUAGUUACAAUGGAAAUUGAUGUGGUAUUUUAUAUUUGAAGUCAUUUUUCAAAUGUACUUCCUAAAUAUAAUAUUUAGGACAAACCCGUCACAUGUUUUCACCCGCCUUCCAUAUUAACAAAUUUGAAUACAUUAUAUGGGAAUUAUAGAGAAUGACGUUGACAGUUCUGAUAAGCGUUUAUGCAUCUAUAUAAAUAUUUAAUUAUAAAUUCGGAUUAAAAAUUAAACAUGUCCUUAGUAAACACAACAAAUAUGUAUUGAAAUAAAGUUAUAUAUUUUGCAAAAAAAAUAUUUGGAUUGGAUAAAGGGUAUGGUAAGUACGUUGCUAUUUGUUAUUCUUUUUUAAAGCUUUAAAAUCGUUUAGUCUUUGGAAUGAAGAAGACUAAAUAUAGAGAAGAGAGUACUCAUCAGAAGUAAUUAAAGAGUAAAUAAUAGAGGUUAAAAAUUGAAAUCUUCAUUGUUAAGAGAGUAGAGUGGAAAUAUAAAUCGAGUAAAAGACAGAAGAGAGAUCCAAGUUCAUGGAAUGCGUAGUUAGGGUUUGAAUCUAUUGAGUGGGGGUUUGACCUAAUGAGGGGAGUAUUCUAUCCAGGAUUGAAUUUGUUUCAGUUUAAUAUACCUUCUCUAGGUUUCACUUUCAAAUCAUAACUAACUCCAUUUUUUUUGCUUUCUAUUUUUUUUUUUUUGCAUUUUAUUUUAUUUGGCUUUACACAUAUUAAUUCAUGGUGUUUAUGUAUGGUUAUAGGUUACGGAUGCAACGUCGUUAAACAAUUACAGGACAAUUAAAUUGCUGAUUCAAUCGAACAUAUGGUGAGUUAUUCACUUUAGUACUUUCAUGUUUAAUAUUUAAAUUAUGCUUGGAUGUAUUGAGAAAUCUAUAAGCUUUCCCAUAAUAUUUUGCGAGCAGCUUAGAUUUCAUAUUCUUCACUAAAAAAAAAAGAAGCUUUGAUUUUGUAUUUACCAUAUUCUUCACUAAAAAAAAAAGAAGCUUUGAUUUUGUAUUUACAUAAUUUGAUAUCAGUUUGAUUAUUGGUUCCAUCAUGAUGCAAAUUACGGCCUCUCAACAACCCUAAUAGACUAUAAUCGUUGGGAAGUCUUCUUUUUUCUCUUGCUUCUCUCUGAUUAUCUUUCACCAGGAGUCUCAGUUAUUAUUAUUUCUUUGUAUUGAUGCGACCAGAAGUUUUAUCUCUUUUUUUAAAUACUGAUCUCUUUAUGGAUUUUUCAUUUAGGUAUGAACAUGGUUCGUUUCACGGGGUGUUUCGGUGUCUUGCCUUGAAUCAAGGCGUGUAAAAACGUAAAGCUUGUUUUUAUCUAUCUUUUUUUUUUUAUUGUCACGUCUUUAUCCAUCUAUGUAAUGUUUAAUCAUCAAUUAUUAUAUUAAACUUCAAUAAAGGCAACAACAUCCUGGUUGGUUUGUUUUAUCUGAUUAGUGUACCAAAUUCAAUUAGAACUAUAUCAGAUCUAAGAAAUUAUUGAUUAUUUAUACAUGCAGGUUAUGUGUGAUCCUUAUACACCAGCUGGUGUUCCAAUUCCAACCAAUAAGAGGCACAACGCUGCUAAAAUUUUCAGACACCCAUCGUUGCCUCCGAGGGGCCUUGGUAUGCUCAUCUUCUUCUUUUUUAGCUAUACAUAUUAUUUUCGUUACUAUAAAUUCUAAUAGUGUUAUUUUUUUUAAACGAUUGUAUGUUUUGGAUGAAUGAAAGCAACCACGAUGCAUGAAGAAGAUUUAGGUGAUGUUUCAAUUAAUCUUUUAUCUUUAAUUUAUCGAUUUUCUAAUUUUACAAAAAUGUUCUCACCGAGUAGAAUAUACUUUUGAGUUUUGAGUUAAAUCUUUCACAGUCUGUUGUGGAUUAGCAACGUUUCAAGCCAUAUUAACUAUUGUGUUGUGGCAGUUCGAAAGAUUCAUAUAAAUUGGACUAUUGCUACAAAGAAAACAGAAUCACAGGUUCAAUUCUAUCAAAAGAGAUAAAGCCUCUUAUCUCUACUGUCUUUGAGGGUAAAGAUGCUAAUGUCAUCGCCCACAGAGCACGAAAUUGCGGAAAAACACAUCCCAUACAUGUAUUGAAAGCAAUCCCAUUAAGGUAUUGAUUAUCAGACAUGAUACUAUAGAUGAAAAAUGCUAAUUAUUGUAUCGCAUGGUUUGUAGGGAAAUGAUAGGGAGCUUGGUUUAACCGUUCUUACAAUGUCUGAGAUGAUAUCCAUGGCUGAGGAAAGAGGAGACUCAGUUUCUGUAUCAGUUUACGAGGUUUCUCAAGAAACCGUGUAUGACCUUUUAGACCAAGAGAAGCGAGUGGUUGCUGUACUGGAAGGUGCACAAGGGAAAAUUCAACUAAAGGGACUUCCUCAGGCAAGUCAUUUAGUGUUCUUGAUCAUUAAUAUUUCAAUGUUUCUGCUUUCAGGUACCUGUGAAGUCACUCUCAUAAUUCCAUAAAGGUGUGAUGAUACAUGUUACCACUGGCAACGCCAAUCCAGGCUCCCUUGGGAGGAUGAACUUUCUUGAUAUGGCAGGUUGAGUAUUUUAAUAUCACAUUUUAAUUGUCUUUUCUUUGUGAUGAUCUUAUGUCAGCAUGUGAUUGGUGUUGUCUUUCUCUGAUAUGAUAUGAGGAUUCUGAUAGAAGCAGUUAAAAGACUAAUUACUAUUUACUAAGGUUUCAAUUUAACCAAGGUUUAUUAUGAGGGUAAACCAUAGUUGGUUUAGCUUUUCUUGUUUGGUCUAUGUCUAUAUAUAAUGUCUGAGAGAGUUGUGAGUGUCUUUUAUCGAGUAAUUGGAGAAAUCUUAGGGGGAGUGGGAGGAGCUCCAUUGUCAAAUUCCUCGAGUCCUUGUAAUUCUCGUCUUGAUAUUCUAUGAAAUACCCUUUUCUAUAAACUACUCCUAUCAGAUUCCAGGAAACAAAACAGUGCUCUAGCUCCUCUAGAGAUUGCCAGAGUUAAUAAGUUGAUAUAUGCUUUACAGAAUGUCAUGUAUGCUCUCAACGGAAAUGAAUCCCAUGUGCCAUAUCGGGAGAGCAAACUCACUCGAAUGCUGAAAGAUUGUUUAAAAGGAUACAACAGACGUUGCUGAUCACAUGAUUGGUAUACUUUUCUUGCUGUUGAGUUCGUUUUAAGUUUAUGAUUCACUGAAUGUAACUGCAGGCGAUGCUAACCCUUUUGUUUUUUUUUAGCCUCGGGAAUAUAGCCAAAACUCCUUUUACAUGUUAAACCGAGCCAUGACUAAUCCUACUAAGAAGAAGAUCUACGGUCUUGAAAGAUCUAUUUCAUUAUGCUCUGCCGCUCAAAGGAGACAGACACCUUUGACUGUGUCUGCUACUUCUAGAAAACAGACAGUGCUAAGGGGAAAUGUGACAGAGAGAAAAGACUAAAAUCAACACUGCUGCUUCUGCAAUUAAAGCAAGGUAAAUCUUUCAGAAACAACUUUGUAUCAACUCUAAGCCUCAAUAUCCAUGAUAUACCUGCAUCUGCUCCGUUGUUCAGUUUUAGAACAUCAAAUAAUGAUGAUUUUUUUUCUCAAUGUUUGAAGGAAACUGUUCCGGGAAGCAAACGAUUCGGUGAAAUGUAAAAAUAGCAUGUUGGAAAAUUUAAUUAAUACGUCAUGAAGUAGAACAAUCUAGAUUCUUCCUUUACAAAGAGGUAAAACAGAGGGUAUAGAAACAGAGACUUAGAGACCAAGAGUCUUAAUUAAGGAGAAUUAAUAAAAAGCAUGUUCGAGAAUUUAAUUAAGACAUGUCAUGAUACGGAAGAAGCCAUGUUCCUUCUUCCUUUAAGAUGUAAAGGCUUUUGGUUUAAGCUUAGCCUUAAAAGAGAGGAAAAACAGAGUAUAUGGAAACGGAGACUAAACCAAAAUUGAAACUUUGUUCCUUGGUUUCGAAAUAAAAGCUAAUUAUAUGAAAAUAUAAGCAUACCCGUCUUUGAAUUAGGAAGGUGCAAUAACGAAAUCGAUUUGAUAUUUCUGAUUGAUGAGAGAAAGGAUAAAAAUUGGAAAGUAUUUAUUUGAAAAAACUUUUUUUUCUGUGGCAUGGUGUUUAAGGAGAAAAUAAGGAAACAGAGAUUUCAUGAAGAAAUAAAAUAGAGCAAGUAACGAACAAGAAGGGACGAGGAAAAUUAAAGCGACGACAUUAGUGAGUUCAAACUAUAAACAAUUAUAUUACUUAAAAUUUAUAUAUACAAUUAAACUAAUUUAUGUAUAUUAUAAUAAUAUAUUUUGAGAGACUUUGAGAGAACCUCUCACUGCACAUGCUCUCAAUACUGCUUUCUAUAGGCACGAGCUGUCGUUCAAGAGGUUCACUUUCUUCCAUUCAAUCAUACUGAUAAGAGAAAAUCUCUAACUAAGAGCAUGAUUAUCCAUAGUGUCUUAGAAAUAAAUCUUAGGAAUAUUUAAGUAAUAUAUUUGUAAAAUAUGGUUCUUAACUAUUUUUUUGUUGCUUACCUAAGAAACCCUCUUAGCAAUAAUGGUUUAGUUGGGAUUUAAUUUUAAUCAUUUAUUGCUAAGAUCCAACUUAAGAAAACUUUAAGAACCUGCCUUUAAUCAUGGUCUAAGAUGCAUAGUGCACAUGAGCAAGUAAAUUGUUGAUUGCCAUUUAACUUCUAUUUCUAAAAAUAUUGGUGUAGAUUCAUAUCAGCUAAUAUUGCCGAUGAUUCAAAUCCAAAAUCUUGAACACAAUAAAGCAAAGAUUAAGUGGAGAGUUAAUACUGUGAUAGACAAUUUUGCUGAAUUAUUAUAUAUCUUAGUUUUUUUAGGUUUUCAUUGGUAGCCUUAAUGAAAACUCGGGCAAUUAUUUUGAGACGGUCCUAAUAAAAAAAGUCUAAUUGUUCCAUUAAAGGAGAAUGAUUUUUUUAUUUGAGUCAUUAACAGUAUUUACUUUGUGUAAUAGUUGUGAGAUAUGAUUUAGUCGGUUUACCCGGUACAAUCAGACUUUCGACAUAGCAAACGAAACCUCUUAACAAUAGUUGUUGAGUUAGCUGCAAAUUCAUCAAAAUAUUUCAUAGAGAACCAACAUUUGGACUUGAUAUACGAGCUGCUACACUAGAAGAGCAAUGGUUUGAACAAUUUGCGAGAUAAUGAAUGUUGUUCUUUAGGAUAAAGUGUGUGUCUUUUUUUGUAAAGGGAUUUGGAGGUACUUGAAAAUAAUUUUUUUGGUUCUCUGGUCAAUUUUGUACGCCACUCUUUGAUCUAGAGGUAUAUAUGAUAGUCCUUAGCAUUGCAUCUAGCUGUAUUGCUUCAUUGUUGUUGUUGUUACUCGGGGACUAACAGUACAUUCGAGGUUUGGUAUACCACUUAACCCUAAUCAAUCCACUACUUACUUGAUAAAGACAUAUUCUCAUCAUGUAUAUUUGAUUAGAUUAGCUAGGCUCGUAAUAUGGGACAAAACCCCGAAGAUGAGCAAGAAAUGCUUUGAAAGAUUUUAUCGUAGCAUGCGUGUCAUAUCUGCACCCUUCGGUGCUCCCUUGUAAAAUCAGAGUAUAUGAGUAUAGAUACUUAAUAGGUUUAAGUGUUCUUCGAUCUUGGACGAUACAUUCCAACUUAUACUGGUCGAUACAGAGGUUAUACAAAUUUUUGGUUUUUCUAAUAAAAUAAAUUGUUUGGUGAAAGAUUGCUAUACCUUUAACAAUUUUAUUUUGUUUGUUUGGGUCACGACAUACAUACUAUAAUUGAUAAAGAGUAUUAUCGUCGCCGUGGAUUCAGGUUUUUCCAAGGACGAUGGAUACAUGGCCGGCCCUAUAGACAUCAACAAGAAACUUUUGCUGUAGCCCAAAUUUUGUUUCUGAAAUUCUUCAACAAAAAUUAUUUACGAAACGGCCCUAAUUUUAUUUAUUUUACGAUAAUUGGCCCUAAAUUUUAAAACCUUUCAAAAUAACCAAAAACUUUUUUUUGAGUAUUUGGCCCUUCAAAUCUCAGGGCAGGCCCUGGAUGGAUAACACUUAGAGAUUUUGAUUCAUGUUAUCGGUUCGCUUAGUCCUACUUUUUAUGAUUUUAAAAUUCAUUGGAAUUUAUCAAUCUUUGUUUCACAUAUACCUUCCUUGGGUGCGAAUGAUUACUGCGCAUUCGCAUCUUUUAGGAAAAUUGAUACUUAGUUUUGAGUAUGUUUAUUUCCCUGGUCCCAUAAUAUCUUUUGUUUGGAUAUUUUAUUGUUUGCAUUGUUAUGGUUUGAUCUAUUAAUUUAAAUAAUUAUAUUUAAUUGGUUGGGUCGUGAGUGUUAGCAAUAUUGAAGACGGAAAACCAAUAAUAAAGUGUGGGAUCAAGUUUAUGUGGAAUUAGAAGAUGAAUUGUAAGUUAUUAAUUUAAUCAAAAUUAGAUUUGUUAUAGUUUAAUUUGGGUAGUAUGCUAAAAACUUAAUUUUAUAAUAAAUUUACGUCUAUAAUGUCGACUAUGGUGGAUACUGUUGUAAAUUUUUGAGAGAAUGGAGUAAACAAUGCGAUAAUAUCACCAUAUUUAUCAUGAGAUUCACUAGAAUAGAAGUCACUCGAGGUAUUCGAAUAUUGUUAUUUUUCAUGUAUAUAUAAUUUCUGAAUAUUUAUUAGUCGAUCACGUUUCUAUGAUAUUGUUUCUGAUGGUUUUGGCUACUAUUGUUUGCAAUGGCAACCGAAUGAUGCUAAACAAUAUGUGUGCUGAAAGUUGCAGGAAUGCGGAGUUGUUUUGUGUUAAGGAUCACAGAAAUUUUUAUUAGUUACUAAGCUUAAAAAAAAAAAAAAAAAAGCUUAUCUAUUUUUUUUGUUUCCAUUUUUCCGAAUUGUUUUUUUUUUCCUAAACAUGUAAAUAUGAUCUAAAAUGAAGUUUGAGGCUUUACAAAAGAUAAAUAAUUACACAAAAGCAACCUUGGCAAAAAAAAAGAUAAAAACAAGAGUACAAUAGAGUAAAGAAAGAUUUGGAAAUAGAUAAAGAAUCCAAAUAAGCAUAAGCUUUGUUCUUCUCGAAGUGAUGAUGUUUCGUAGCUCCACUCCACCAUCUUGAAAAUGAUUUGAGCAGCAAGCCGCAAGGAGUUAUGGAGAAUGUUAUUACGCUGUCGCCAGAACUUAUAGACCACCACUUGAGAUGCUACUUUUCUAAGCAAAGAAGGCACAUGACUGGAAGAGCGUCAGGUCCAAGAAAAUAGCUCAAUCCAAGAGCAAAACAACCUUUGUUGCGGAAAAAGCCUAGAGAAAACUAAAUUCCACACCUGGAAAGAGCUCACAGAGGAGCAGAAGGUGAUCAUGAGACUCCGUUAGGCAAUUAUUUAAGUGACUCUGGAGAGGAAGAGCGUUAGGACAAAGAAAGUAACUCAGCCUAAGAGCAAAACAACUUUUGUCGAGAACAAAGCCUAGAGAAAACUAAAUUCCACACCUGGGAAGAGCUCGCAGAGGAGCAUGAGGUGAUACCGAGACUCUGUUGCAAAAGUGUAAAGACAACACUCAUCAAAUUGAAUUUGUUCCCAAGAAGCCAGUCUUUGAUGAGUGGGCAAUUCUUAAAAAGUGUAAGGAGAAGAAGAGCGUUGGGUCCAAUAAAGUAGCUCAGCCCAAGAGUAUAACAACCUUUGUUGAGGAUAAGGCCUAGAGAAAAUCAAAUUUCCCAUCUCAGAAAAGCUUACAGAGGAGCAGGAUGUGAUCCUGAGACUCCGUAGCAAAAGUGCAUAGACAACACUCAUCGGAUUGAAUUUUUCCCUAAGAAACCAGUCUUUAGCGACUGGAGAGGACGAUUGGAGAUUUAUUUAAGUGUCUCAACAGAAGAAGAGCGUUAGGUGCCAGAAAGUAGCUCAACCCAAGAGCAAAACCACCUUUGUGGAGGAUAAAUCCUAGAGAAAACCAAAUUCCACACCUUGAAAAAGCUCAGAGAGGAACACGAGGUGAUCCCCAGACUCCGUUGCAAAAGUGCAAAUACAACACUUGCCCCCAAGAAGCCAGUCUUUGAUGAGUGGGCAAUUAUUUAAGUGACUCUCGACGGUUCAAGAAAGUAGCUCAGGCUAAGAGCAAAACAACCUUUGUCGAGGACAAAGCCUAGAGAAAACUAAAUUACACACCUGUGAAGAGCUCACAGAGAAGCAGGAGGUGAUCUCGAGACUCUGUUGCAAAAGAACAAAGACAACACUCAUUAGAUUGAAUUUAGCUCCAAGAAGCCAGUCUUUUACGAGUCGACAAUUGCUUAAAAGUGUAAGGAGAGGAAGAGCGUUGGGUCCAAUAAAGUAGCUCAGCCCAAGAGUAAAACAACCUUUGUUAAGGAUAUGGCCUAGAGAAAAUCAAAUUUCCCACCUCGGAAGAGCUCACAGAGGAGCAUGAGGUGAUCCUGAGACUCCGUUGCAAAAGUGCGUAGACAACACUCCUCGAAUUGAAUUUGUCCCCAGGAAACCAGUCUUUAACGACUGGAGAGGACGAUUGAAGCAAGAUUUAUUUAAGUGUCUCAACAGAAAAAGAGCGUCAAGUGCCAAAAAGUAGCUCAACCCAAGAGCAAAACAACCUUUGUGGAGGAUAAAUCCUAGAGAAAACCAAAUUCCACACCUUGAAAAAGCUCACAGAGGAACACGAGGUGAUCCCGAGAGUCCGUUGUAAAAGUGAAAAUACAGCACUUGGCCCCAAGAAGCCAGUCUUUGAUGAGUGGGCAAUUAUUUAAGUGACUCUCGACGGUCCAAGAAAGUAGCUCAGGCCAAGAGCAAAACAACCUUUGUCGAGGAAAAAACCUAUAGAAAACUAAAUUUCACACCUGGGAAGAGCUCACAGAGGAGCAGGAAGUGAUCUCGGGGCUCCGUUACAAAAGUACAAAGACAACACUCAUCGGAUUGAAUUUGUCCCCAAGAAGUCAGUCUUUUACGAGUCGGCAAUUAUUUAAGUGACUCUAGAGAGAAAGAGUGCCGGGUCCAAGAAAGUAGCUUAGUCCAGGAGCACAACAACCUUUGUCGAGGAUAAAGCCUAGAGAAAACCCUAGAGCUGGCUACAAUAUUUUACGAAUUUGUUGUUUACCAAAUUUUUAUAGGAUAUACGAUAAAAUUGAUUUUUUGGAUGUUUAGAUGUUUAUUGUGUUGUUGUGAAAGCUGGAAACAUCACGACACCCAUUUAUGUUGCUGAAAGAGAUGAAGCUCCUAAUCAUUGUCACAUUAUUAAAUUCGAAAUCAAGAACUAUUGGUACCUUCGAAAUUUCUGUUGUUUGUAGUUGUGAGCGUCUCCGGUAUCGACUAUCGUGGUUUUAUGUCAAUAAAUUUCUCACUGAGUGGAGGCAAUGUAUUGAUGACAUUACCAUAUGUAUAUUCAGAUUUGCAAGAACUGAAAUGAGUGAAAGUAUUUUGUUUUGGUUUUGUUAUUUAACAUGUAAUGUUGGGGUUUGAGACAUUGAAACUAUAUUCCUUUGAUAAUUAAAGUACACGAAGAGGUACUGCUUCAUACAAGUGUUCGCAGAUUCUAUUCAAUCAUUCUUGUCAUGAUGCGAGAUAUCUUUUCCAACAAGAAGAAAGGACAAAUGUCACACAUCCAAUUUUGAUCUUUUGAUUAUCUUUGGUUGUUGAUGAGCAAACCAAGACUACUAAAUUUAUACUUUCUGGUUCUAAUGAUUUUAGUUUUCCGUUUUGCAUUUUAUUAUAUUCAGAGGAUAAUAAUCACUAUUUUCUCGCAAUAAUAUAUAUCAAACGUUAUGGCGUUUUACCAUAAUUCUAUAUUAAUGUCGUUAUAAAAAUUAUACUCUUGACAAAAUUUAAUCAAUAAUUGUCUAAAACUUAUAAUCCUAAAUGACUAAUUCGGGUUUUAAUCAACAUACAACCCCGCGCCGGGCGCGGGGACCUCCCCUAGUCUUAUGUAAAAUUGUUCUUGUCAACAAUACUUGAAUGUUUUAACUUUUAAACCUCCCUUUUUUUCAGCCCUUGAAAUUUUUUUGAGCCACUAAUAUUUUUUAUAUAAGAAAAGUCAACAUCCUUUAAUUUAUGAUUUGUCAAAAAAGUUGCCUAACUUAACUCAUGGUAUAAGUAAACACUUUUAGAAAUGUUCACGCCACAUUUGGUCCUCAUGGGAUAGCUUGGAUGACUCACACACUUGUUUAUCUCCAACAAAUUAUAUUAAAUGUUUAAUUAAAAUGAAUUUUUAUUUUUUUUCCAAACCAAGUCUUAUCUCUAAUGAAGGAAGGGACUUCCAUUUUCGAUUACACCGUGAGAUAAACUGAUUCGUCAAAAAAUUAUAAUUCAAAUACAGAUUGAUAACAAAACUAAACUUAUAUAAUAGUCAACUCUGACCUUUUAGUUGCGCAAAAACCAACUAGCAGUGACUUAAACCAAGAACUGAAGCUUGAUCAAACCAAUUAUCACAAUCAAACCACUUUAUUUCCUGAGUCUGACCCAAAUCCUUCAAUCAUCAAAUAGAUCUCUUCACAAAGUUUUACAACAUUAGUCUUUCAAAACCACAAGUAAAAAUAGAUCAAACACAAAGUUUCAAGCAAUAAGUUAAACAAAAUAGAUCGAACAUAAAGCUUUGACACAAAGAAGAAAAUCAUUAUAUCUCUCCAUCACUAAGGGCCUUCUUCUCCAGUCUCUCGAUCUCUCUAUUACUAUUAUUGGUUUUAAAUGAAAGAAACUGUAAGUGAUUUAAACCAAGAAUUAUCGUCAAAAAACAAAAUUUACACCAAUAAGUGAAGCUUGAUCAAACCCAUUAUCAGAAUCAAGCCACUGCAUUUCCUGAGUCAAGUCUUCAAUCAUCAAAUAAAUCUCUUUCGAAAGAGAAUGAGAUCGGUCUUCAGCAUUAAAGGCAUUAACUUGAUUUCUAAUCUCAAUCCAGCUCCAACCUGGAACUUUCUUUACACCUCUCUCUUUCAUCAUCUUCUUCACAUUUGCUUUCUCUUCCCAUUUCUUUAGAUCACUAUACAUAUGAGACAACGAAACAUAGGCAAAAUGAUCUUCUGGUUCGAUCUCUAGCAAAUGGUUAGCCACUUGAGUAGCCAUCUCUAUCUCUCCACAAGCCCUGCAAACUCCAAGGAAAGUUUUCAACACCAUUGGAUCAGGAUUCAAUGGCAUUGAUUCGAUUAACUCUUUCACUUUGUUCACAAGCCCUGCUCUGCCUAAGAGAUCAACUGCAGCUGCAUAAUGUUCCAUUCGAGGUUGGAUUUUGUAAACCGGUUCCAUCGAGUUAAGUAACUCAAGCCCCUCUUGUAUCAAACCCGUGUGGCUACAAGCUGUUAGAAUUGCAGUGAAGGUUACGUGGUCUAGUUUCACGUUUUGGUUACACAUUUGAGAGAAGAGAUCAAGAGAGACUUGGCCUGAACCGUGUUGAGCGUAGCCUAGAAUCAUCGCGUUCCAGGCUAUUGUAUUGUGUUUGGAAGAAAUCUGCUCGAAGCAUUUUCGCGCGUUCUCAAUUACUCCACAUUUUGAGUACAUCAAGAUCAGAGAACUGGUUACAAACUCGUUUGAUUCGAAGCUUGAUUUAGUGGCAAGAGCGUGAGUCUGCUGACCUAACUGGAGUGUUGCUAGGUCCGAGCAUGAUCUGAGAACUGCAGAGAAGGCGUAAUCGUCGACUUCUAUGUUUGAAGAUCUUAAGUAGCGAAAGAACUUUACUGCAUCCUCGCUGAGACCAUUUUGGGAGAACCCUGUCAUAAUCGAAUUCCAAGAGACAAGAUCCUUAGGUUUUAAGGAUUCAAAUAGAGACAGAGCAUCUUUCAUGACGCCUGUAGGAAACUGAAUAUACAUAGAGAUCAAUGCAUUUGAAACAGAAGUAACUUGCUCCAAUCCCUUCUUUAUCACCAAACCAUGCAAAGACUUUCCAAAACUCUGAUGUUCUUCGCCAGAGCAAGCACUUACGAUGCCGGUGUAAGUAUAAAUGUCAGUUUCGAUCCAAUUCCUAUGCAUUUCAGUAAAUAGUUCAAAAGCAGAUUCCUUUUGCUCGUGUUUAGAUAAACCUGCGAUCAUCGAAUUCCACGAAAUCAAGUCUUUUGAGCCACCCAAGCCAUCAAAAACUCUCUUCGCAUCGGAUACUAAACCACAAUUUGCGUAAGAGCUGAUCAUCGCAUUGCAUAUAGUAAUCUCAUGUUCAAGCCCGAGUUUCAAAACCUUAGCAUGAACUUGCUUCAACAAGUUACAAAACAUCGGAUCAUCAAGCAAAGUAAGAAGUGGAGCAAAAGUGCCAUCGUCCAUAGUCACAGCAGCUUUCAUCUCCAUCAAACCCAACAACCAAAAAGCAGUCUUGGUAUCUCGCACUUGCACAAAUCCAGCAAUCAAAGCAUUCCAUGAAACAGAGUUAGGCUCUAAAAUCUCCAUAAAAGCCCCAAAAGCAUCUUCAACUCUUUCACAUUUCGCGUACAUAUCAACAAGCGAACUUCCAACAUACACAUUACACUCAUAACCUCCCUUUACAACCAAACCAUGUACUUGCUCCCCAAGAUCGAACCUUUUCGCAGAAGCAAUCCCUUUCAAUAACCUACUAAAACUAUACCCAUCAACAUAACAUCCACAUCUCUUCAUAUCUGUAAACAAACACCAUGAAUUCUCCAAUUUCCCACAGCUUGUGUAUCCAGAAAUCAUCGUGUUCCAAGACACGGAAUCUCUCUGAGGCAUUUCAUCGAACAACUUAUGUGCAUAACCCAAGAAGCCAAAUUUUAUAUAAGAAUCCAAAAUUCGAUUGGAUACGUAAGUAUCGGAGACGGAACCAUAUUUGAUGGCGUAACAGUGAGUGACGGAAAGCUUUUGGAAAGUGUUUAAAGAGCUCUCUAGUAGAGAGGUUAACAAAGCUUUCAUUCAUCUGUUUCUCUGUGUUCAUGUAAAGUCAACGAACAAGUCAAAAAGAACCUCUCUCUUUUCUCAACAUCAAAGAUAUUUUAUUACUAUUUUUAUGUAAAUAAAAUAUUCUAAAUAUGUAUUUUUGUCAAAUAAUCAGUUUAUUUUAAAUUUAUAUAUUUCCGAAUUUACAUAGUAAUGGAUAAUCAAGUGGCUAGUUUGUGGUAAUUUUAUGUGUUAAUAACCUUAAGUGGAUUAAUUAUAGGUUUAUUCAGUAAAUAGAAAUACAUUUUGAAGCUUGAGUUAUUUGUAAAAUGGUAUUUGUUUCCUCUUUUUUUUUUUUUGGUUUUAGUGUUAAGAUUUCAUUCCAUGGAGAAAAUUACAAGCUAAGCUACAUAGUACAAAAUUAACCCAUUAUCACAAGAACAAAAGACAGAAUAGAGAAAUUACAACGGAUAAAAAAUGAGAAAAUUAGAAAUAAAUGAUAUCUACUUAAAAAUUUGUCUAUAUAUCUUUUUUUUUGUAGAUUGGUCAAAUAGGUUUUUUAAAAAUAAAAACCCAACUUUACCCUCAUUUUCUCUCAAAAUUAAUAAAAAAUUGAUUUCAAAAAUAAAACUUCCUGAUUUAUUUACAAAAGUUAAAUAAAAAUCUAAAGAAUCAAACCUUCCACUUGAGAAAGAGUCUCUCAAUGACCUAUACCUAAUUAACUAUUUUUUUUUUUCUGUCGUAGAUGAACAUGUCGGGAUAAAAAAAAAAACCCUACCCCACCGCCGUAUCUCUGCCGACUGCGUGUUAUCCGGCAUCGUUGGUCCUCCGGUGUUCAUCUGGGCGACGAUUGAAGAUUGAAUCAAUAGGUUCGUUGCUCUACUCUUUUUUUGUGAUUGAAUUAUGUCUUUUUCUUAUCUCAAGUCACAAUUUUCUGUUACUCGUUUAGAGAUUUGCGUUCAUAUAAACACAAAUUGAAUUUGAGACUUGUAAAUCGAUGUGAAUCUUUUUGUUUUCUCGAUUUAGUUGCAAGUCACAAUUUCAAUUUGCAUGUAGAGUUGUUAAUAUCUUUGAAUUCGUGUAACUCGAUUAGAGGUUUCAAUUUUGUGAGUUUUAAAAUUCCAAAUUUCAAUUGUGUAGAUUGAAUAAGUCUUUCGCUCUUUGAUUCAUGUGAAUGUAUAUGUGUUUGGGUUCGAAUUCAUUGAUUUAGACAGAGUUUUAUGACUGAAAUCAUGUCAUCUUCUUAUAAAACUAGAAGUGAAUAUUUUUGUUCUCUUAUUGAUCUGUUUAGUUCGCUAUUUGUAUGUGUGUGUGUCAUGAGUAGCUCAAGUACGUGUCUUGUUUAUUUUUUUAGUUAUAGGUAUUGUCUCUUGUAAAUCUUCUUCAGCUAAGUCAAUUGUAAAUCUUUUUCAGCUAAAGAAAUCCACAUAUCGUCAAUGAAAAUAUCUUUUAUCUCUUAAUUCAUGUUUAAAUCUUUAUUCAAGUUUGUUUCUGCAUGUUGAAAACAAUCUAGGAAGCACGAGUAAUUAGUUACUUUAAUUUAACAUACAAUUUUUUUGUUUGCUAACUGCAACUAUGCACUAUAAUUAGUCAUAACUCUGAAUGGUUUUAUUUAGAUAUGUUUGCUUUUUAUGUGCAGUCACUGCUAAGGAGUUUCACAAGCGCCUUUUCGUACAUGGUAAAGAUCCUAUCUUAAUUGAGCGAAUGAAGAACUAUCAACCUACAUCAAUCGUCGGAUAUCCUUGAAAUUGAUUGAGAUUAAUUAGCAUUAUGGUUUUUUUUUUUAUCAUCAAAACAGAUUACGUACUAACUAGUCUUGUGACAUGUAGUUUGUAUGACCUUUGUUUUUUUUUUCUUAUUAUUUAGGCGUUUUAUGAAUUUAACUUCGUAACGACGUUGCAGAAAUAACUCCAUUAAACAAUAUAAAUCUACACUAGAUCAAAGAUGAUCAAAUACUGAAAAAUAUAUAUAAAAAAAAUAAGGUACUAAGAUGCCGGCAAUCCACACAGUGCCGGCGUUUGGGGUGUGCAAGUGGAGCAAUUGUACCGGGUCCAAUUUUUUUGGGUAAAUUUAAGGGCCCAAUUUUUUUUUUUUCGUAUAGAAAAAAAUGUAAUUUUUAAAACUUUAAGAUAUAUUUAUUAUAAAAAGCUUAAAUAUUUUAUUUAGUAUGAAAGUGGUUAAUUUUUAAGUUUUUUUUUAACAUGAAAAAGGCCCAAUUUUUUUUUUUUUGUAUGAAAAUAGGCCAAAUUUUAAGAUUUGUACCGGGACUCAAAAUUAAUUGAGCCGGCCCUGAAUCCACAGUUACACUUCUUCAGAACUACAGAAGAUCUACUCACAUUUGAAGUACCCGUGACCAAAUCCAUCUACGCAAAAUCAAUAAAUCCUGAUUGAGACAUUUUAUCGAACAACUUAUGUGCGUCCGUUGAAUCGUCUUUUAAAACCAAAAUAAACACACAAAUAUUUACAAUUACAUGCAUUUAAUAGAUCUAUUUUUGGAAUAAUAAGGGAUCAAACUUUGAUUAAACCUGAUGCAACCUCCCCAAUUUGCUUGAAUCGUCACAAGUAAUCACUGUUUUCAAACCGUUGUGCCAAACGAGUCUUUACUUUUCUCUAUUAGUACUUGUCUUCCUUAUUUUUAGAAUCUCCGGCUUAUGUUAGUAUUUGUUUGUUAGUAAGUUUCUUGGUUCAUGUAUAAUUUGAUGCGUAGACAACGACUUCUACAUCUUGUAGAUUGUAAUCUAAAUAAUAAAUAUUCAUUUAAAACGUAAUCUCGAAAAUAUAUAUUGUUUCCUUUUUUGAAGAUUUACUUUCUAUGUUUAGAGUAUUAUAAAAAUUUCAGAAAACGAAAUCUACAAUAUCGUAGAAUUUACAUUCUAAACGAAGAUUACAAUUUCUAACGAUGGCAGAAGAUGUAGAAAUUAGUAGAACGGCUAUUCUAAAAUAUUUAGAACAUAGAGCAAAGCGUAGAAUGCAUAUUCUAAAUAUUUUAGAUAUAAGAUUUUCGGACUUCUAAAAUUUUCAGAACAGAAAUCUAGUCUAAAAUAUGUAGAACAUGUACAAAAAUGCAGAAUACACACUCUGAGUUACGUAGAAUUCUAGAAAACGUGUUCUAACAAAAUUAGACGAAACUUCAUCUAUCAAAAAUUCAACUUUUUUUUAGCCAAAUCUAAAAAUUUUCACUUCAAAUCACCCCUACUCUUGUAUAUCUACCUGUUUUUCUAAUAAUAUUUUUUUUUUAAAUAUUUAAAAUAGGGUGUAGGGGUAGUUUCGUCCAAAAUGACAAUUUCACCAAAAAGGUAUAUAUGGACAAAUUUUUAAGUAGAUAUCCUUUAUUUCCAAUUUUCCCAAAAAAAAUACUAAAAUAAAGAAAUUACAACAGAUUUCAUUUCUUUUUGCAUCGGUGUUAUUUCUUGCCUCGGUUUGUAGCUCCCAAUCAUGCGUAUCACGACCUGAUUGCAGUCAUUUGAAAAAUUCUUGUUUGAGUCAAACUAGAUUUCGUUGAUUAUCUUUCUCUCAAAAUUCUUUAGUUUCCUACUUAGACCUGACUGAAUUUUCUGAGUUUCGUUUUCGUUUCCCGUGACUUUCACCAAAAAUCCCUAAAAAGGCUAAAGAGUUCACAAUACAUACAAAAAAAAACAAUCAAAGAUUCAAAUGAAUGAAAACUGAACUUAAAACAACUCUAAAAUACGAUAUAAAAAAAAAUCAUUAGCUGUCUAUAUACAUUUUAGAUAGAAAUUGAAAUCCAAAAUUGGUCAUUGCCGAAAUAAAAAUAUAAAUUUUCUUAGCCAUUUUCAAAUUUCUUUCCAUUUUUUUUUAAUACAUUUAUAAUUUGAGUGGGAUUUGAUUAACAUAUCACAAACUAGCCGUUGUAAGCGCAUUUCCGAGGAAGACUAGCCGUUACGCUCUCAUUCCCCUUUUCUUUUUUAUUCUUCUCUCAAUUUUAUUUUUUUCCUUUACAAAAUCAUCAAAACCCUAAGCGUCGAAUUCAAUUUGCUUCCACAGAACAAUAGAUUUUCAAAAUCACAGAUCCAAAUCGCUUCUUCAAUGGCGUCCAAAACAGUGGCUGCUAAAGAUAUCAUCACUUUACACGGAUCUGCUGCCAUCGUCAGCGAAUUCUUCUGUGCGUAUUUUCAAUCUCUCACACUCAAAUUUCGUGUAAUUUCACAUUCAUUCUCUUCGAUUUGAUGCUUUUUCUUCUUCUUCUUCCAGGUUACGCAGCGAACAGGUUAGAAUUGAAUCGGUAUUUCAAAUUCAGUUUCUGGAAAUCUCCGAUUAGAUUGGAUAUUGACUCGUUUUGUUGUUUUGAAAUAUAGUAUCUUGUAUAAUCGAGCAGUUUAUCCAGAGGAAAGUUUUGUGAAAGUGAAGAAAUAUGGACUUCCGAUGUUGCUUAUUGAAGAUGAAUCCGUCAAAUCUUUCAUGUCUAAUCUCACUUCUCAGAUCUCCGGUAAUGUAUUUUUUUUUUAAAGAACAGAACAAUAGAGAUAGGUUUGAGAUAUGAUUCUUUUGUGACUGAUUUUGUUUUUGGUCUAAAGAAUGGCUUGAAGCUGGGAAGUUGCAGAGAGUAGUGUUAGUGAUAAUGAGCAAAGCUACUGGUGAAGUUUUGGAGAGGUGGAAUUUUCGGAUUGAGACUGAUAAUGAAGUUGUUGACAAAGGGUCAGUCUUUUUUUUUUUUGAAAAUUGUUGAAUGUGAUGUUCUUGUUUUCAUCAUCUUUAUGGAACUUUCAGUGUGUCGAGGGAGAAAAGUGAUAAGGAGAUCAUGAGGGAGAUUCAAGCUAUUAUGAGACAGGUUGCUUCAAGCGUUACUUACUUGCCUUGUCUUGAUGAAACAUGUAAGUACCAAAUCAUAGCAACUUUGAGUUACCAUUUCAACACUAGUUUGGGUUUAUUUGGAUUUUCAUUUUUUAUUGUGUUUGUUUAGGUGUGUUUGAUGUAUUGGCGUAUACGGACACGGAUGUGGCUGUUCCAUUCACCUGGAUCGAAAGCGACCCCAAGUUGAUUGCUAAUCCACAGAUGGUUAAGUUACACGGGUUUGAUACCAAGGUAAGGAGGAGGAAGAAACUUGAAACCUCUAUUCCGAUCACUUUGAAAUGUCUUAAGUGUAUUGGUUUUCAUUCUCUGCAGAUUCACAAAGUCGACACGCUCGUCUCAUACAAGAACGACGAGUGGGAUGAAGAAGAGUAACAGAAGUCGGGACACGUAUGCAAUGCUCUUUGUUCAGCUUUCGUUUAUGUCUUUGGGAGUUCUUAAUGUUCUAAAGGCACGUGAAUCCUUUAUUCACCCCUAUGCUUUUUUCUGUUUUGUUCUUUCUGAAUUGUAUGAGAAUUCUGUACCUGUGUUGUGUUGUGUUUCGUUCAAAAGUUAUCAGCUUUUCCAAUGUCCCUGUCCCUUGCAUUGAACAAUCUUGGGUGAAAAAGAGAUUUCUAAAAAGCCAAUCAAAUUUCUCUGAUUCACAAUGGAAUGUCAAAAGAGGUGCAUAUUUACAGUGACCGAUGAAAAUAAAGGUUUUUGGAUAAAAAAAAAGAUCUCUAAAAAGCCAAACAAAAAUCUCUCUGAUUCACAAAGAUGGAAUGUGUAUUUACAGUGACUGAUGAAAAAUAAAGGUUUCUUCUAGCCUUUUGUAGACCCAUUUUCUCAUCUCAUUCCUCGGUAUAAGACACCGGAUUGAAGAUCGUCCAUAUUGUCUAUGUUCCGAAACGCGUCAAUCUCUCUCAGACAUGUCCAUCCUCGUCGAGCCAAGAAAUCUCGGUAAUCUUCUUCGGUGUAGAAUAUCUUCUCCUCUUGAUGGACCGGUAACGGAUCAGAUUCAUCAUAGUGGCACACUCUAACGGCUAUCCCUGAAUUCAAUUGGAUAUUGAGAAACCUCUAACCAGAGAGUAUUCAAUGAAUAGCAGAGAAAGAGUGAAUUUACCUUCAUCAACACGGAGUGUAUAGUUCCCUAAAGGCAUGUCUCGGUCAAGAGAGCGAAUAACCUGUUCUUCAUCUUCUAGCCAAAAAGCUCGUCUUGUUCUUAAUCUAAACGCGGAUCUGAUAGCUUCCUUGAUUGCUUCAGCAGUACCAUCAAUCCCAAAUCUUCUUGUAUAAUCUCCAAAUUUCACUGUUAUGAUCCUCCCAACAAAUGGCUGACCAUCACCCCCUGCUUCAAACAUGAAACCGAGAAUUAGUUGUCAUAUAAGUUCAAAAGCUUGAUGAAAAACAAAAACGCUUGCAAUCGAAGAGGCUAAGUUAUAUAAGCUUUUCUGGUUACUUACCAUUUCCAGCGGUGUCUCUCCAACUCCAAGGAGGAACUCCAUUUGCCGUGACGGGAUCAGCAGCAAUGGGGAGGGGAAGACCAUCAUGAUCAAGCUGCGUUUCAAGAUUUAGCGUUGGCCUGCCAUUAGCUGCACACAGAUACAACUCAUAUAAAGACUACACAACUUCCACAAAUCAAACAAAAUGUCCAAGACAAAAUCGGCUUCACAUUAUCACUAACAUUCUAUAAUUUGGUAUUGAGUUCACUUUUAUUUCACUGAAUAAUAAAGCAAUCAUAAGUGCACAAUUGUUUACCCAAAGCUAGGACCGAUACAACCAUUUCUCUCAAAGUAAUUCCCCAACUAAAAAGGAAUUCAACACCACCAUUUAUAUAUACACACAAGAUUCAAGAAAUGUGAGAUCAAUACCUUCAACAGAUGUAAAUGGAAUACCAGUAUCUUCAAAACCUACAAGAAGAUAAAAAAAUAAAGAUCAAUUUUAGAAGAAAACCCAAAUUUACUAUAAAAAGUCAAUAUAGUUUAACAACCAAAUCAACAACUUUAUAAUUAGCCAUUAAUGGUCAAAAUCCUCUUAACUAGGUUUAGCACUAAAAGAGGAACAACACUAAAGAUCAGUCUUUUUCUUCACAAUCCAAAUCCAAAUCUAAACCAACACCCAUUAACAAAUAUUAUCAAAACCUGCAAAAAAUCCAUCAGAAACCCCAAAAUCAAGCAAAAGACUCUACCUUUAUCAGUAAAUUGCAUAAAGGAAUCAACUUUAGCAGAAGAUGGUGGAGUAGUAGUAGAAGGACUCUUAUACAAGGCCACUUUCUUGUUUCUUUCUGUAAAAAUGUCUUCAAUCUCUUUGUAAUAAGACAUCUUCGUUGAUCCUCCACUUGUUGCUUUAUCAUCAUCUUGAUACUUAGCUUUCUUAAACUCUUUCAAUAUGUUCCUCCACUUGUCCGUACACAUAGUUGGUGAUCGAUCAAACCCUUUCUCUCUCAUUUUGCUCGAAAUCUGUUCCCAAAGAUGUUUGUUAGAUUUAGAUGUGUUGAAAAGAUUGUCCAUUUCUCUCCGUAACGAGAUUAAGCAUCGAGUCUCGUCUUGUGCCCAUGUCUCUGCUCGUUUCUUUGGUGCUUUGAUGAUCUCAUGAUCCUCUCCUCCACUGCUAUCUCCGAGGAUGAUCUGAUGAUGUUGUUGUUGUUGUAUCGGUAGAUCUCCGUUUGAUGAUGUAACAUCGAUCAUCAUGUUCAUGUCCCGUGAAGGAUUGUUAUCGGAAACAAACAUGUUUUCUCCGAGGAACAAGGAGAGAUAGAAGAAGAUGUCAAAGAAAACAACACUUUUUUCUUUUACCAUAUACGCGUGGAAUCAACGCGCUGCUAUAAGAGCGCGUCCCUUUGAUAUUUAGUCAAAGCUUAUUAUCUUAAAUUGUUUGAAUAUAAUAAGACAGACAACAUGGAUCAAGAACAAUCCAAGGUUACAAACUUUAAAUCCAAAGAGUAAUCUUCAUGAUAAUUAUAACAAUAACAAUGUGUCCAACAAAGAUGGAAAUGGAGCAAGUUUUUAUUAUUUUUAAAAAGUUUCUAGAGAUAGUUGAAGAUCAUCUCCAUUGAGCAAAGGUAUAUCACCAACCUGAAAAACCAGUCCUGGAUUCAGUAUUUAAGAAACGUCUAACCAAAGAUUAAUGAUCUAUGAAUAGAGGCAAAUUUACCUUCACCGAAAUGGAGUUUAUGAUCUCGAGUAAGAAACUAGACAACCAAAUGAUUAUCUAGUUUCUUGUCCUAAAUGAUGGUAUCCUUUAGUGGCUUCACAAGUGUAUACCAUCAUCAAAUACAAACACUUCUUGUGUAGUCUCCGAAUCCAAAUUCCAUUUACCACACUCAAUAAACAGACCUAUCCUUCAUCAUCCUUCAUUGACAUUGAGUUUAUGAUCUCGGUCAAGAAAGGAGGCCAACAAAUUUCUUCAUCUUUUCGAUCAAAUGAUCAUCUGCUUCUCAACCUAUAUGCAACCCUGAUGGCUUCAGCAGUGUACCACCAAUGCCCAAACUCUUCUUACUAUACGUAGUCUCUGAAUCCAAACUCAAACCACUAAAACAGCCGACAAAUCCCAUCACUUGCUGUCAAACAUACUACUCAGCCUCUUUCUUGGGUUUUCCUUUUGCACAAUUCACAACAUCAUCUGUUUCUCAAACAGCUUCAACAGUACCAUUACUAGUCCUCCCCCACCAAACUACCCUGCUUCUUUCUUGGAUAUUUCUAUUCCUUAUUCUUCUUUUUUUUUUUUUGUCUUUUCUUUGUCAAACCAAAUAAGUAAUACUAAUAUGUAUACAUAUGACAACUACACCCACGGGAAGAUAUAGUUCCCACAAACUAAAGCCUAACCAUGGAGACUGAACCAUUCAAUCAUAUAGAAAAGAAAGGCUCAGAUGGAAUUUUAUACCUAGAGAGUUAACUUAGGGGCCGGCUUCGAACAAACAGCACACAAAAACUCUAGACAAAACGUUUCUUCGUAUUCGCUGUCAUUGAUGCACCGACCACAGUGAUAACACCUCUGUAUGCAAAGAGAACAAGCACGGCAUUCCUCAGAACCUUUCUUUUUCCCUUUACAAUCUUCUGCUGGACAGUCAUACACAAGCCUAGAAUUUUGACACUUUGGGCACAUCUCAAUAUCUAGCGCCCGGUCAUCAUCACAGGACACACAUGCAUCUCCUCUAUGGUAAAAACGCGGCUUCUGAAUAGUCUGCUCGACUUUAUUGUCUAUGUUCAACAAGUCAAACAAUUCAUCGUAAUGAUCUUUAGUAACUCCAAAGAGGCCACCAAUUUCUAAAUGCUUCACUUGAAGCUUUCCCGCAUACUUCAGAUCCCUCAAGAUGCUCAAAAUACCAUCAAUAGUGAUCCUUGUGCAUCCAGGCACACCAAGCUGCCAACCACAGAACAACAUUAGAUUUAAAUAAAAUCCCACAAAUCAAUUCAACCACGAAGCACAUCUAUAACAGCUUAUUAGUAAUCCAGAUAAACUUGAGUAAAUAAAGGAAAAAAGCUCACCUUGACUACUUGUGGGUUGCGCUCCAACACCCGCUUAAGACAAUCAUCAGUAAUUCUACAGCAAUCUACGAGCCUCAAACACUGCAUAGUACCCUGAGCCCUCUCAGUUAAAUGCAGCAGAGCCUCUUCCGUAAUCUUCUCAUUCAACGGUUGACAAAUGUGGAUAUGCUUCCACAAUAACGAGUCAUUACAAACAGUAGUAUGCAGAGACUUGCAAACCAUACUAACUGAAAGAAGAUCCUUCACUCCCAAGUGAUAAAGACAAAAACCAAACGCUGGAUGAAUAUUUGAAUCCUCUCCUCCAUUACUGCAGCGAUCACUACUUCCUACAACUCCACCAUUCCUCGCAUCCUCGAGGCUCAAUACCUCAUCAACACUACUAGCAGAUAUGAAAGCACCGUGACAAGAUCCAUCACCAUCAAAUGCUCCUCCAAACACAUUAUUGUCCUCACUACUCUCCGGGAAUUUACAUGCGGAAAACAAAGACCCAUCAAAUGCCCCACCAAACCCAUACAACGACUCCGAUCCAUUACUGUACCCACUACUCUGAAACUGCAUUGCAUUGUUCCAAAUGAAACUCAAUCCAGCAAAGAGCUGCUGAUGGUUUCCAUCACCAAUCCAAAUGUCAUCACUUCUUCUUCCAUAUUGGUUAUUAUAAUCCAAAUCCUCAAGCCAUCCAGUAAUGGCCGUGAAAGUAUUGUUGAUAUCCAUACCAAACGGAUCAGAUGGCAAAACAUCAAGUAUGUCAACAGAAGAAGAAUCUCCAUUACUCUUCCUUCCAUUAUCAAAACUUGAACACCAAUUCCCAUUGGCUAUCUUCAUUGGUUCCUCAGAUAGAUGAGAAGCAAAGGGUCUAUGUGAAAAAUUUAAAGCCAUUUCUAUUAAAUCUCUAUAUACACUUUAAACCUAAAAAAAAUCCCUCUUUUGUACACAAUCCCUGAAAAAAAACUCAAAACCCCCCUAAGAAGAUAGAUCAGAUCCGAAAAAAACUAAAGGUUAUUUUUUUUGGGUUAUCGAAAGGCGAUAGAUCUAUGGACAGAAAAAAAGGAAACUCUUGAUUUCAGAUGGCAACAAAAAAAUACUAGGCACCAGAAAUUUUCAGAGCUUCCUUGGAACCCUAAAAAACCUAGAGAAAAGAAAUUCGAAAUUGAGACGUAUUAACAACCAAAUUGGGUAACACAAAAAGAAUGAAUUGAAUAAAACUGAUUUUUUCCCUUUUUUUUUUGUUUUCUGUUUACUCUUCUUCUUCCUCAAAACAAAACUAGGGUUUUCAGAAAUUUCGAAACCUAAUCCUAAACAUUAUCAAGAAGAAGAAAGAAAGAUAUGAAUUUUGAAUCUGUGGGAUUGAAUUGAAGAAAUUGAAUCAAAGACACCUCUGUUAUUUCCUCACCCACGAAGAAGAACAACAACGCGAUCAACGGGAAAACCAAACCGAACCCUCGCCGUGAAACUAAACAAGAUCUCCUUUUUUGAGGGAAAUCUUCAGACUUUCGAAUUGGGAAUCAAACAAUUCUCACUUGGGAUUCAAAGAAGAGAGAAAGAUGGAGAAAGAGAGAGAGAGAGAACAGGUUGGUGAAUUUCGUCGACCGAGUCAAGAGAGAAAAUGAUGGAAAGGACGAGAAAAUUGUGCGAAAAAUCUCAACUUUUUUUUUAUUUUUAUUUUAGGGGUUGAGAUUUUACGUGGGAGAGAAAUAAAUAUAAAACUGGAGACAAAAUAAAUUUAAAAACUUAAAUACAAUAAAAUGGAAUGAGAUAAGAUUAGGGUAACGGUGAAAUUGUCAAAGUCUUUGGAAUAAUGGACACGUGUCAUUUGUUUAGUUCUUUGUCAUUCUUUCCAUAUGCCAACAAACUAGGGAUAUCUUAUUUUCUUGUUCGUUUUUUUAAAUCUAUUAUCCAAUAAGAGAUAUUUGAGUUUUUUUUUUUUUUUUGUCGGCCAUUUAGAUUCAUUGAUAUAGCCCAAAUGGGCAAAUUACAGAAAGUCCAGUAUACAGAAGAUUACAGCGAAAAUAAAGCUUAGGUCCUAACUAAAUCUUAAUUAAAGAAAAUAAAAUAUUGAAGCACAAAAGAUUUAGAAAUUGACACGUGUGGGAUAUGUGAUCUUCUCGAAGCUACGCGUCAAGCCGUGGAGUAGCAUCGUCAACGUCGCCGGACAUCGCUGGAUCGCCGAUUAGUCACCGCCGAUCAGCUCUGAAGCGAUGAGAAUCCUCUUGCUUUCUGCCGAUCUCAAUUCCUAGCCAAACGUCAAGAAAUCUCCGGAUCGAAUGAGAAAAAAUAGCUUCAAAUUCAUUCGAGCAUCACUAUCUUCGGGGAAGCUCCAUCACUAGCCACACCCAACUUGAUGUGGUCAGAUCUUUGCUCUUUCUUCUUUGAGCAAAAGGAAUUGAUGAAGAUAUUACUCCUCGAAAAGAUUGGAAGGAUCGGAGAGAAUUUUGAAGAAAAGCGGAGAUAAUAACGGGCUUAGAGAAAAGAUAUCAAAUCUCGCUAGUGCGAGAAGCAAAACCCGGACAGAGCCGGUACUGAGAAUUCCGACAAAAGCCGGAAAUUAUUUAGUUCGUUCAAAAAACGAAAAUAUGUACAAUUCCGGUGAAGUCCGAAAUCAAAACCGAAAGAAGACUUCUCCACUCUGAAAGAUUUAAGAUGGAUAAGAGAAGAGAAGCUUUUUAGAAUUUCCGGUUAAUAAUUCCGGUACACCGGAAAUCGCCUUCUCUCUGAGAGAGAAAGCUCCCAUUCUUUUUAUUUUAUUCUCUCUAUUUGAGUUAAUUAUAUUAGGAUGAUAUUCAACUACUUAUAUAUAAAAUACAACCAAUUACGAUAAACAAUGUAUACAAAUAAUAAUUUUACGCUGCAAUUUUUUUUAUAAUAUUCGGAUUUCCA